rnacentral:rRNA from 1 species
AAUCAACGCUGGCGGCGUGCCUCAGACAUGCAAGUUGAACGAUUAAAGCUCUCUUCGGAGAGUGCAUAAAGUGGCGCACGGGUGAGUAGCACGUAAGUAAUCUACCCUCGAGUGGGGAAUAACGUCCGGAAACGGACGCUAAUACCGCAUAACGCAGCGGCACCGCAAGGUGACAGUUGUUAAAGGAGAAAUUCGCUUGAGGAGGAGCUUGCGGCAGAUUAGCUUGUUGGUAAGGUAACGGCUUACCAAGGCUACGAUCUGUAACCGGUCUAAGAGGACGGUCGGUCACACUGACACUGAAUAACGGGUCAGACUCCUACGGGAGGCAGCAGUCGGGAAUUUUGGGCAAUGGGGGAAACCCGUGACCCAGCAACGCCGCGUGAAGGAUGAAGUAUUUCGGUAUGUAAACUUCGAAAGAAUAGGAAGAAUAAAUGACGGUACUAUUUAUAAGGUCCGGCUAACUACGUGCCACCAGCAGCCGCAGU